rnacentral:rRNA from 1 species
GACGCCUGCCCGGUGCUGGAAGGUUAAGGGGAUCUGUUAGAGCAAUCGAAGCAGUGAACUUAAGCCCCAGUAAACGGCGGCCGUAACUAUACCGGUCCUAAGGUAGCGAAAUUCCUUGUCGGGUAAGUUCCGACCCGCACGAAAGGCGUAACGAUUUGGGCACUGUCUCAACAACAGACUCGGUGAAAUUGUAAUUCCGGUGAAGAUGCCGGAUACCUG